rnacentral:rRNA from 1 species
UAGGGAAUCUUGGACAAUGGGCGAAAGCCUGAUCCAGCCAUGCCGCGUGAGUGAUGAAGGCCUUAGGGUUGUAAAGCUCUUUCGCCAGGGAAGAUAAUGACGGUACCUGGAUAAGAAGCCCCGGCAAACUUCGUGCCAGCAGCCGCGGUAAUACGAAGGGGGCUAGCGUUGUUCGGAAUUACUGGGCGUAAAGCGCACGUAGACGGUUUUCCAAGUUGGAGGUGAAAUCCCUGGGCUCAACCCGGGAACUGCCUCCAAAACUGGAUGACUCGAGUCCGAGAGAGGUGAGUGGAAUUUCCAGUGUAGAGGUGAAAUUCGUAGAUAUUGGAAAGAACACCAGUGGCGAAGGCGGCUCACUGGCUCGGUACUGACGCUGAGGUGCGACAGCGUGGGGAGCAAACA